UGUUGAAAAAUUAUGAAAUUUAGUUUCCAAAUACUUUUAAUAGUAUAGAUCAAGUCUAACGGAGCCGAUCGUCGAUUUGGAAGCCGCAUCAUCGAAAACAACUAGGUAGGACGGGAGGCCCCGUGCUACCGAUAGUAAAGUAGCCGGACUCUAUAUAUAUAUAUAAUGUACCGAAUUUUUAAUAUAAAAAUAAAUGGAAAUAAAAAUAGUGUAACAUACUAUUUUUAUUAGACUUAAAUAAAUAAAAUAUAGGUCUGAAAUGACUUGUACUGAAAUUGGAAUAGAAACAGAAGAUUUACAAUUUUCUGUAAGAAUCGGGGUUAAUCUUUUAGCAAAAAAUUUACAGUGUUAGAAAAUUAUGAAAAUUCGAGAAUAUAUCGGAAUUAUUUUUCUGAGGCUAGAUUUAAAGUUUAAUGUCAUUCCGACACCCGAAAAGUGGAAAAUAAAAUCUGACUGCUAUCUACUAGAGAUUCUAAACAGUAGACUUUUCGGUGAUAAAAAAUAGUUUAAAACUGAAAAGUUAAUAUUUCGUUCUUCUUAUUAAUUUUAACCGAGUCUGACUGUCAAAAUUGAGCGUAAACGGACAUUCAGAAGGGCUCCGGUGAAAAGUAUCAGAUUUGAACUGGACUAAAUUUUAAGUUGUAAUGGGUGGGGG
rnacentral:lncRNA from 1 species